rnacentral:lncRNA from 1 species
UAUUUUCGUCUGCUCUAGCCCAAGCCUUCCGAGGGGGCCCGGGUCACCCGAAACCGGAUUGCCUAACACUUUUCCAGGCAAUCAAAUAUGACCUAAGGAACCAUAGUCACCGCCCCGCCAUGGCCGUUCCUUGUUGUUUUGCGUUUUACUACCAAAAAACUAUAAUUCUGCCCGAUUCCCAUAUAUUCGUGUGCUAUAUAUAGCCCACGCCUUCCUAGUGGGUUCCGGGCCCCCCGGACCCCGAUCGCCUAAAAUAUUUCCAGGCUAUCAAAUACGACCUAAGGAACCAGUCACCGCCCCUCCAUGGCCGUUCCUAGUUGUUUUGCGUUUUACGGCCAAAAAACUAAAAUUCUGCCCGAUUCCCAUAUUUUCGUGUGCUAUUGCCCACGCCUUCCGAGUGGGUCCGGGCCCCACGGACCCCGAUCGCCUAAAAUUUAUUUGGGCCAACAAAUACGUCCUAAGGAACCAUAGUCACCGCCCCGCCAUGACGUUCCUCGUUGUUUUGCUUUUUACGAACAAAAAACUAGAAUUCCGCCCGAUUCCCAUAUUUUCGUGUGCUCUAGCCCCAACCUUCCGAGUGGGCCCGGGUCCCUCAAAACCGGAUUGCCUAAAAUUUUUCUAGGCCAAAAAAUAAGACCUAAGGAACCGUAGUCACCGCCCCGCCAUGGCCGUUCCUCGAUAUUUUGCAUUUUACGGCCAAAAAACUAAAAUUCCGCCUGAUUCCCAUAUAUUCGUGUGCUAUAGCCCUCGCCUUCCUAGUAGGUCCGGGCCUCCCGGACCCCGAUCGACUAAAAUAUUUCCGGGCUAUCAAAUACGACCUAAGUAACCAUAGUAACCACCCUACCAUGAGCGUUCCUCGUUGUUUUGCUUUUUACGACCAAAAAACUAGAAUUUCGCCCGAUUCCCAUAUAUUCGUGUGCUAGCCCAUGCCUUCCUAGUGGGUCAGGGCCCCCCGGACCCUGAUCACCUAAAAUAUUUCCGGGCCAUCAAAUACGACCUAAGGAACCACAGUCACCGCCCCCUCCAUGGCCCUUCCUCAUUUUUUUCCUUUUUACGUCCAAACAACAAGAAUUUCGGGCGAUUGCCAUAUUUUGGUGAGC